GAUGAACGCUGGCGGCGUGCUUAACACAUGCAAGUCGAACGGCAAGGGCGGCGUUUGCUCUGCGAGUUCAGUGGCGCACGUGUGAGUAACAUGUGAGAAACGUGCGUCUGAUUCUGGGAAAUUCGCUGGAAACGGGGGCAAAUACGGGUUAUGAGCGGCAGAGGCAUCUUCUGCAGCUGGAAAGAACUGCGGUCAGGGAUGAGGUCGCGGCUUAUCGGCUUGUCUGUGAGGUAACGGCUCACGAAGGCGUCGACGGGUGGCCGGCCUGAGAGGGUGGCCGGCCACACUGGGACUGAGACACGGCCCAGACGCCGACGGGAGGCAGCAGUGGGGAGUAUUGCACAGUUGGCGCAAGCCUGAUGCAGCGACGCCGCGUUAGGGGUGAUGGCCUUCGGUUGGUAAACCGCUUUUAGCAGGGUAGAAGCGAAAGUGACGGUACCUGUAGAAGAAGCGCCGGCUAACUACGUG
rnacentral:rRNA from 1 species